UCAGUUGAAACCGCCACAUUGUCCAUCGGAGCCAUGAGCUCGCUAUUUGACAUCCUAGGAAACAUAUCUUUAACCGCCUGAAGCGCCUCCACCCACGCAACCCGAUCAUCCCGAGCCUCGGCUCGUAAAUGAAGCCUCUUAGUUCCGGUGAAGAUCGAGAAUCUCUUAUCAUCUGAUCUGCUCUCCCUUAUAGAGGAAACCUGAGAAAAAUUCAAGAAUCAAAUAAUUGAAAAACCAAAUAAAAUUUGUUUUUGUUUUAUUUUCCAUUAAUUCAUUAAUAUUUCUAUUUUUUAACCUUUAGGUGGACUUCACCAAAGGGUUUCCGACGGUUUUGGGAAUGACGAGAAAUGGAAUUGCGAUGUCGGGAGAUAAGACGGAGAGAUUCUUCGCCG
rnacentral:lncRNA from 1 species